AACUAUUAAUGUAGGAAGCGUAUGAUCAGGUUUUCAUGCUCACAUGUGAAAUGAACCUCCCUCAAACCCGGUUACGCUAUCAGCACAUUAUCUAUCUGAUG